UGGGGAAUCUUCCGCAAUGGACGAAAGUCUGACGGAGCAACGCCGCGUGUAUGAUGAAGGUCUUCGGAUUGUAAAGUACUGUCAUUGGGGAAGAACGGUUUUCUUGAAAAGAUUGAGAAGACAUGACGGUACCCAAGGAGGAAGCCCCGGCUAACUACGUGCCAGCAGCCGCGGUAAUACGUAGGGGGCAAGCGUUGUCCGGAAUUAUUGGGCGUAAAGGGCGCGUAGGCGGGCCUUUAAGUCCGGUGUGAAAGAUCAGGGCUCAACCCUGAGAGUGCAUCGGAAACUGGAGGCCUUGAGGACAGGAGAGGAAAGUGGAAUUCCACGUGUAGCGGUGAAAUGCGUAGAUAUGUGGAGGAACACCAGUGGCGAAGGCGACUUUCUGGACUGUAACUGACGCUGAGGCGCGAAAGCGUGGGGAGCAAACAGGGUUAGAUACCCUGGUAGUCCACGCCGUAAACGAUGAGUGCUAGGUGUAGAGGGUAUCGACCCCUUCUGUGCCGCAGUUAACACAAUAAGCACUCCGCCUGGGGAGUACGGCCGCAAGGUUGAAACUUAAAUGAAUUGACGGGGUCAUAGCUGUUUCCU
rnacentral:rRNA from 1 species